CGGUUCGGAGGCGGGGCAGGUGGGGGCGGGCCCAGGUAGCAGGUUCGGCUGCGCGGGGGCCGAGCGUCGGAGUUUCGCCCUUUCCAGGGUGAGGAUGGUUCUACACAGCCACCCGGAGUUCUUUAGUUGAAAGGUGCGCCUUGUUGUGACAGCAUGGGCACCACAUUGCUGAAAACAUGCUUUGGGACUUCCACUGAAUUUAUCUUUUGUGGUUUUAUGACAAAGUUAUUAGUAGUUUCCUUUUUUUGACUUAGUAUUUUGAAGUUAAUAUCACAAUGAGUUCAGGCUUAUGGAGCCAAGAAAAAGUUACCUCGCCCUACUGGGAAGAGCGGAUUUUUUAUUUGCUUCUUCAAGAGUGCAGCGUUACAGACAAACAAACACAAAAGCUCCUUAAAGUACCGAAGGGAAGUAUAGGACAGUAUGUUCAAGAUCGUUCUGUGGGGCAUUCAAGGAUUCCUUCUGCAAAAGGCAAGAAAAAUCAGAUUGGAUUGAAAAUUCUAGAGCAACCUCAUGCAGUUCUGUUUGUUGAUGAAAAGGAUGUUGUAGAGAUAAAUGAAAAGUUCACAGAGUUACUUUUGGCAAUUACCAAUUGUGAGGAGAGGUUCAGCCUGUUUAAAAACAGAAGCAGACUAAGUAAAGGCCUCCAAAUAGACGUGGGCUGCCCUGUGAAAGUACAGCUGAGAUCUGGGGAAGAAAAAUUUCCUGGAGUUGUGCGCUUCAGAGGACCUCUGUUAGCAGAGAGGACAGUGUCGGGAAUAUUCUUUGGAGUUGAAUUGCUGGAAGAAGGUCGUGGCCAAGGUUUCACUGAUGGGGUGUAUCAAGGGAAACAGCUUUUUCAGUGUGAUGAAGAUUGUGGUGUGUUUGUUGCAUUGGACAAGUUGGAACUCAUAGAAGACGAUGAUACUGCGUUGGAAAGUGAUUAUGCAGGUCCAGUGGACACGAUGCAGGUCGAACUUCCUCCUUUGGAAAUAAACUCCAGAGUUUCUUUGAAGGUUGGAAAAACAAUAGAAUCUGGAACAGUUAUAUUCUGUGAUGUUUUGCCAGGAAAAGAAAGCUUAGGAUAUUUUGUUGGUGUGGACAUGGAUAACCCUAUUGGCAACUGGGAUGGGAGAUUCGAUGGAGUACAGCUUUGCAGUUUUGCGUGUGUUGAAAGUACAAUUCUAUUGCACAUCAAUGAUAUCAUCCCAGAGAGUGUGACACAGGAAAGGAGGCCUCCCAAACCUGCCUUUAUGUCAAGAGGUGUUGGGGACAAAGGUUCAUCCAGUCAUAAUAAACCAAAGGCUACAGGAUCUACCUCAGACCCUGGAAAUAGAAACAGAUCUGAAUUAUUUUAUACCUUAAAUGGGUCUUCUGUUGACUCACAACCACAAUCCAAAUCAAAAAAUGCAUGGUACAUUGAUGAAGUUGCAGAGGACCCUGCAAAAUCUCUUACAGAGGUAUCUACAGACUUUGACCGUUCUUCACCACCACUCCAGCCUCCUCCUGUGAACGCACUGUCCACCGAGAACAGAUUCCAUUCUCUACCAUUCAGUCUGACAAAGGUGCCCAACAGCAAUGGAAGUAUUGGCCACAGUCCACUUUCUCUGUCAGCACAGUCUGUGAUGGAAGAGCUAAACACUGCACCUGUCCAGGAGAGUCCACCCUUGGCCAUGCCUCCUGGGAACUCACAUGGUCUAGAAGUGGGCUCAUUGGCUGAAGUUAAAGAGAACCCACCUUUCUAUGGGGUAAUCCGUUGGAUCGGUCAGCCACCAGGACUGAAUGAAGUACUCGCUGGACUGGAACUGGAAGAUGAAUGUGCAGGCUGUACCGAUGGAACCUUCAGAGGCACUCGGUAUUUCACCUGUGCUCUGAAGAAGGCGCUGUUUGUUAAACUGAAGAGCUGCAGGCCUGACUCUCGGUUUGCAUCACUGCAGCCGGUUUCCAAUCAGAUCGAGCGCUGUAACUCUUUAGCAUUUGGAGGCUACUUAAGUGAAGUAGUAGAAGAAAAUACUCCUCCCAAAAUGGAAAAAGAAGGCUUGGAGAUAAUGAUUGGGAAGAAGAAAGGCAUUCAGGGUCAUUACAAUUCUUGUUACUUAGACUCAACUUUAUUCUGCUUAUUUGCUUUUAGUUCUGUUCUGGACACUGUGUUACUUAGACCCAAAGAAAAGAAUGAUGUGGAAUAUUAUAGUGAAACCCAAGAGCUGCUGAGGACGGAAAUUGUUAAUCCUCUGAGAAUAUAUGGAUAUGUGUGUGCCACAAAGAUUAUGAAACUGAGGAAAAUACUUGAAAAGGUGGAGGCUGCGUCAGGAUUUACCUCUGAAGAAAAAGAUCCUGAGGAAUUCUUGAAUAUCCUGUUUCAUCAUAUUUUAAGGGUAGAACCAUUGCUAAAAAUAAGAUCAGCAGGUCAAAAGGUACAAGAUUGUUACUUCUAUCAAAUUUUUAUGGAAAAAAAUGAGAAGGUUGGAGUUCCCACAAUUCAGCAGUUGUUAGAAUGGUCAUUUAUUAACAGUAAUCUGAAAUUUGCAGAGGCACCAUCAUGUCUGAUUAUUCAGAUGCCUCGAUUUGGAAAAGACUUUAAACUAUUUAAAAAAAUUUUUCCUUCUCUGGAAUUAAAUAUAACAGACUUACUUGAAGACACCUUCUUAACUCCCCUCCCACUCCCCACAUUUCAGCUCCCAGGCAGUGCCGGAUAUGUGGAGGGCUUGCAAUGUACGAGUGUAGAGAAUGCUAUGAUGAUCCGGACAUCUCAGCUGGAAAAAUCAAGCAGUUUUGUAAAACCUGCAACACUCAAGUCCACCUUCAUCCCAAGAGGCUGAAUCAUAAAUAUAACCCAGUGUCACUUCCCAAAGACUUACCUGACUGGGACUGGAGACACGGCUGCAUCCCUUGCCAGAAUAUGGAGUUAUUUGCUGUUCUCUGCAUAGAAACGAGCCACUAUGUUGCUUUUGUGAAGUAUGGGAAGGACGACUCUGCCUGGCUCUUCUUUGACAGCAUGGCCGAUCGUGAUGGUGGUCAGAAUGGCUUCAACAUUCCUCAAGUCACCCCAUGCCCAGAAGUAGGAGAGUACCUGAAGAUGUCUCUGGAAGACCUGCAUUCUUUGGACUCCAGAAGAAUCCAAGGCUGUGCACGAAGACUGCUUUGUGAUGCGUAUAUGUGCAUGUACCAGAGUCCAACAAUGAGUUUGUACAAAUAACUGGGGUCAUCAGGAGAGGUGAAGAAACUGAAGGCAGUCUUAACGUUGGAUCUUAUUUGAGCUGGCAGUCUGUUCCACGUCCAUUGCCGGCAAUGGAUGUCUCUGUGGUGAUGAUCCUUCAGAAAAGGAUGCCUGUGUUUAAAAACAAAUUGCUUUUGUGUUCCUGAAGUAUUUCAUAAGAAGCAUUUUGCACUCUAGAAAGUAUGUUUGUGUUGGUUUUUUAAGAAGUCUAAACGAAGUUAUUAAUACCUGAAGCUUUAAGUUAAGUGCAUUGAUCAUAUGAUAUUUUUGGAAGCAUACAAUUUUAAUUGUGAAAGUUUAAAGCCUCUUUUAGUCCAUUGAGAAUGUAAAUAAAUGUGUCUUCUUUAUGGACCAAGGAUAUGAAAUCAUUUUUCCUUUGUAGCUAACGGUUGCCUUGAGGAAGAAAUAAUUUGGUUUUAUUAAGAAUCUACUCUCAAGCCAGUUAUUAAAGGUGUACUGAGUUUGAUUUGUUAAUCCUUUCUAUAUACUGCUGAUCCUUGCAUGUCUACAAUCUGCUCAGUUUUUCUGUGUUUCUGCAAUAGUGGUCAGAAAAAUACUUAAAUUCCCUUAAUGCUGUUGUUUUCUAUUUGUUCUGGUUUUGAGAUAAAUGAGUGAUUCUGUCCCCAAAUGUCCAUUUUUCAAGUGAUUUUUCUGGAGGAUUAGGGUAUUCAGCAGUUGAAGCUCUUCAUUCAUAGUAGUUACUAUCAGCGAACAGGUUUUUUUUUUUAAGGCUUUUAACUAUUAAUAUUUUAUGGAAUGGGGCAUAGUAAAUUGAUAAAAGAACUAGAGUGAUAAGUAAAUAAGAUAGUCCUAUACAAACAUACAGUCGCUAAGAAAAUGAAUUUGGCAUAUAGAAUUACUCUUUAAAAUUUCCCUGAAGAGAUGGAUAUUUAAACUUCUGUUAUUUUAGACAAGAUUGUCCAGAACUUAGGUUCGAUCUGUCAGCCAGUAAUCCCAUUACAUUCAGUGUGAUGUCACUUGAGAUAAUGAAUCAGAUAUGUCAUCGAAAUGUUAGCAGCAGCUUCAUCCUCCUUCUGAUUAAGUGGCAAUGGGAUGUUUUGUUUAAUAAUAGCCAUAGUGUGUGUAGACCACAGUGGAUGUUGUAGACCAGGACCGUAGAUUAUACAUGUCCUUGCUGUGGGAUGUGCAUUCUCUCAGUGUUGUUUUGUAGUAUCUGUUUUGUAGUAUCUCUAAGUGUCGUUUUGUCUUUCUGGAAUGACUUUCUAACUGUGCAGAAAGGCAGAAAAGUUGUCAUAUGUGUAUGACAUAUGACUUUGUAAAAUAAUGUGAAAAAAAGUGGAAAGAAUCUUUACAUACCCUGCAGUUACUUUUUUAAAGGCACUUUUAUUCUUCAGUUUUAUCAUUCCAUUUUGCAAAUAUCUACUAGCUUUAUAAACUACAAUAAGGUACAAAAACUCAUCUUGUAAUUUUUUCAUUUUUGAAAUGAAAAAGUACAUAUAUUUUGCACAAGGUUUUGUACUGCUAAGUGCUUGGUUGGGGUGGUGAGAUGAUGAUUAGAUCAGGGGUGAGGCUGAGGGACUCCGGGUUUAGGGCUAGUCCUGCCUCCAUCUCCCUUGGGUAAAAUGAAGGGUGUGGGGUAUAAUUCACAUAAGGCCUUUUCUAGCUCUGACCACCCAGAAGUCCAGUCACGCUGUAAUAAAUAUGUGUUGAAUGAAGAAAUGGAUGAAUGAGCUUGUCAAUGUGAUUUUUAAAAACUUGUCUACCUGGAGGAAUGAUUAGGAAUCUAAAUGGGGCCAGCCCUCGACAUCUGCAGGUUUCUCAUCCAUGGAUUCAACCAACUGCAAAUGGAAAAUAUUACUUAAAAAAAAGGAGGGUUGCAUCUCUAUUGAACAUGUACAGAUUUUUUUCUUGUCAUUAUUCUCUGAACAAUACAAGAACUCUUUACGUAGCAUAUACAUUUAUUAGGUAUUAUAAGUAAUGUAGAGAUGAUUUCAUUAAAAUAUACAGGAGGAUGUGUCAAUUAUAUGCAAAUUUUGUUCCAUUUCAUAUAAGGGACUUGAGCAUCUUCAGAUGUUGGUAUCUGCAGGGAUCCUUGAACCAAAACCCUUCAGAUACUGAGGGCUGGCUUGGUAAGACUGGAUUUAACAGUUAAAAUUUAAAAAAGGAGAAACAAGACAGUUCCUUUUCCGUAGAAAUUAAAAUGCAAGGUGAGGAAUCUCUGCUACCCAGGCUGUCAUGGUAGAGGACUUGAAGAAAACCUGUUUGGAUGUACACCUGGUUUCAAAACUCAGGUGUGGGGACUGUCUUAAAUGGGAGGGCCUCAUCCGUAAAUGAUUUCUGAUGACGUCUUCUUCAGGUGGAGCUUGAUGUCCUUUUAAUGUUACUUGGGGAGGGAGUUCUUAUCAAGGGAUGCCAAGGCCAGCUCUGGUGGUUCCUGGGGAGGCUGGGUUCUUCCCUGCUUCUGCGUGUCGUGGGGCAGCAGGAAGGUUUCUCCCUCACGUGUCUGUCCUGGCUCCUUCUGGGUAGCCCCUCCUGUUCUGCACUUGACAAAUCAGAGCCUGAUUUGUCAAGAGGGGCAUAGUUUGGGCUGGGCUGCAUGGUGCGAGGGCCAGUGUGCCUGCUGGCUAUUUAAUUUUUGGCCUUAGGUUUUCUUUAAUAUUUUCCUGUUGGCUUCUUAAAGGUUUUGGUUAUCUUUUUUUUCCUUAUCUACAAUCAAGAUGACAAUGUAAUCAAAUCAUCUCAUUUAUAACAUGGUUCAUGAUUCAUAACUAUGAGUAGAAAAUAUGUCAUGUUCCCCAACUCCAGAUAAAUGUGUGUGUGUGUGUUUGUGUGUGUGUAUGUGUGAGAGGGAGAGAAUGGGGAAGGAGAGCAAUGUUAUUAUAUAUAGAGAGGCUAAAUGUGUUCCAUCCCUCACUAUCAGCUUUAUAAAGGAGUUUGACUCCAUCCACGAAAGAAUGUUUUGUAAGACUAGGAAAACACAUUGAAAACUAGGAAAAACUGCAAGAAAAAUCAACUUACUAUGUCGUUCCCAUUGUUAAGGAUUUUUUCCUUAGGAUAAUUCAGGAUUUUAAAAAAUUUAUAUUUGUAAAACGGCUGUAAAUAAAUGGCCAAGUUCUUCCUAUCCUUAGGAUUCUUUUUUUUUUUUUUUCUCACAGAUUUUGAGAACAAGGGGAAGACCAUUUAUGGAAGAUUAAGAUUCCAUAAAUCUUAUAGAACUGUACUGUUGCCCAAAUUCUUGCUUGUUUGAAUAUGGCAUAUUCAUAGACUCAGGAUUCAUUACCCUCUAUAGCUGGAUCUUGAAAAUUACCCAGCCAGAUAAUUUCGCAUCUGCUUGGAUGAUUGUAGACCGGGAUGUGAAUGGAGGAUAAAGUAUUAGGCCUUCGCUGAGUAACUACCGACCAAGAAGCAUUUAUCAGACACUUACUAGGUGCCUAGGAUUGUAUCAGAGGGAACAUGAGACGGGUCCCUGCCCUACCUAGUUUUAAUGACAGAAUAUCUAUUAAAGGGUGCUUAGCUGAAGGGUACGGGUGACAGGUCUAGGGGAAGCUCUGGGAGGUGGUGUGGUGUGACAGAAAAAGGAGCAGACUGGGGCCAAGAGACCCGCGUUCUAGCCCUGUUCCUGUCACUUGCUUUGUAUGCUUAGAAAACAGGUUGGCCUCUUGGGCUUUAGUUUCCUCCUCUACAUAAUGAGAGGGUUAGACUAUUGAAUUUUGUAGGAAAGAAAUAUAAAUUCCUGGGUCCUAGGCCAUGCCUACUGAAUCCAAUUGUUCUUGAAGAGGCCUAGGAGAUCUGUGAGGGGAGGUUCCCCAGGGGAAUCCGGUGACCAGCCAGGAGUGAAAUCUGCUAACUGGAAGAUCGCAAAGUUUCCUUCACUUUUUGUGAUUUUGUGAUCAUGUAAUGUUACUGUAUUACUUAUGUCAAUGUGGGUACUUGGAUGUUUAUCAUACUGUUUCUCUGUGUUUACAUAUUAAUUUAUGUAAGAAAUGCAUUUUAGUCUAUGUUCCUCAACCUGCUGUUUCCUACAGGUGUUAGUAGUCGUUGAAUACAAGUAAGACUUAAGAGAUAUUUGAUGUUAUUUACCUGGACAUCUUCUUUCCUUUUAUUUAUUUAGAGGAAAUUGAGAUUCUAGGAGCCAAAAAAAAGUAAAAAAGAAAAAAAGAAAAGAAAACAAAAUUCUUAGGCAAAGUUAAAGAAAAGAAAUUACAUUCUUUCUUACUAUUUGCUACUUUAUAAUGAAAAUUUUUAAAUUAUAUGGGAAGAUUUUUCUCUGGGAUAACAAAUCCUUGUCAGAAAGAAAGAGGUCUUUUUAAAGUAAUUAAGGCCUGUAAUUUAAAAUAAUGCCUUUCUCUAGAGGUUGGUGAUGUGAAUAACACAUCCACAAUUCUCUAUUAAUGAAGAUAAUAUUUGAAUUUCCCAAAGCAGGUGAUGAGUUGGGGAGGAGAAAGAGAUGUUAAAAUGAAAACUCAUGUGCAAAAGAGGAGGUGGAGGAAGAAGUAAUAUAAACUCCUUAAAGCAGAUAUGCACGGGGCCAUAUGAAGGCCAGGAUUCUGUGGGUGUCAGGGGAUUGCCCCUCUUGACAGAAACUGGGGUUUUCGACCGAGGCUUCCUUCAGGGAGUCUUGCCUUGCACUUCUCUGACCUUUCAGACCUCCUUUUGGGUAGAAGAGAUGGGAGGAGGGGAGAAAGACUGUUCAACUGAUUCUAAAUCCUGGAGCAGCUGAAGGCUCUCUCGGGUCACAACGCAGUGCUAAAACAUUAACCAGCAAGUAUGGCCAAGGAUAGUGAAAACAUGGGAAAGAAAGACAAGACCUUCCUCCUCCCUGAUCAUAGCAUCCAUCAGUGUCUGUAGCCAGCUUACUCAAGAGCCCCGUUUGAUUUCCUGGCCCUUUGCCUUGGCAGUGAUGACAUUUUUAUUUCACUGUAUUUUAAAGUCUUCAUUUAUUUUUAUAACAUGGGUUAAGGAGAAGGGCCACUAAUGGAGGGAACUGUCCUUUCAAGAACCACAGCUUCCGAUAUAAUAAGUACUUUACAAAACUGUCCACUUUAACUUAAAAAAAUUCUAGUGGGAUUAUACUGGAGACUCAACUACCCUUGGUUUUAGUUACUAAAAUGGCCUAGUACUGUGUAAUUCUAAUUUUAGGAAGUCUUAGCAUCGGAUCAUAAACAUUCAUUAAAAGAACUCACAUCCCAUUUGAAACUUCCCAGGGGAGUCGGGAUUCUUAGUAGAUUGGUAGAAAGGGGCUCAUUUUAUACUGUAUUUCCCACUUCUGGUAUCUUGUUCAGCAUUUUUUAUUGUUAUUUUUUUGUCUGCAGAACAUCCUAUAUUUAUGACAACAUUCUUUAAGAAGGACACCAUGUAGAACAUCCCUUACUAUCAGCUUGCUCUGAUUUAGCCUUAAUUUUGUUAAAUUUUUUAGAGAUGAAUGAAGUGCUGCUGUGGAAAGAAAUGUACAUAUACUAUUUCUGUAUCAUUAAAAAUUACAUUUUUAUGGUUC